CAUUUCAUAUAUUCUAAAGCGAAUUUUUAUCAAAAUCAAUUUUAUUUUAAAUUGGUACCCCAUUUGGGCUAAUAUAUCCCAAACAGUCUAUUAUAUCUCAUUUGGGCGAUUGCUGAAGACACUUUGACCAACUCGUUCUUGUAAAUGAUGGCUCCAGUCAAGUAAAUUGUCUGUUUACAGGUACUAGUACAUGAAUUGGUCAUGAGAUAAAUAAACAAAAUUAAUAAAUUUAUAUAUUAAUCCUCGAAGGAAAUAUUUUACAAAUGAAAUCAAAAUAUGAAAAUUAAAAAAGAAAAUGCACUUUUUUUGUAGAUUACUAAAUCAAGGCACAAUUGCUAUUUUAAGUCAAGUUGGAACUUUGCUAAAUAUAAAUAGCAAGAAAAGUAAAUUUUAUUUCAUUUUCAUGUUCUUUUAAAGAAUAUAUUGUCAAUAAAUUUAGUUAAUUAAAAUUGACAGGGUUUUCACUUAGCUAAAAAUGGCAGGAGGCAAUUUAAAAAAUUUCUUUGAUCAUAAAUAGCUGUUUCAAAUAAAAGAAACAGCUUUCUUGUCUAGCAUUAAAAAAAUUUUUCAGAUGAAACCCUGCAUUUCUUGGAAGUAUACCAUGAUAUUUGCUAUUGUUUGAUUCCUGUGUAAAUUUUGUUGAAAUAAUCCAAAUUGGUGCUUUUGGUUUGUGUUGAUAUUUUUGUGCUGAGUAUAGGUAUUUGUGAGCUCUUGAUGACCGGUUAUUGAACACUCCAGUGAAAUAAAUAGGGCCUCUUGAUUGUGUAGAAUCUGUGAUUACCAGUGUAAUUAAUCCGGUGAUUAAGACAUGAGGUACCAAGGCAUGAAAACUGCUGAAAGAGAUUUUCAAGUAUUAAUCUCUUUGUAAGACCUCUCAACUUGAUUACCCUGGUGGCAAAAAGAAUAAGACUUGUAGAGAAACGGCCAGUCAUUUGUCACGAGGCUGGGUUGAUUAGACUGGUGGUUUGUGACCUAUCAAGUUUAUUUUCUCAUUACUCAGUCCCCCUUUUGUCCCCACGUUCAUCGUCACAGUGAUGAUGACGUAAUGGCCGGUUAUUUCUGGUCCUUUGGCCGGGGCCCCCCAAGCCUCCAGUGUUUACCUGUGAUCGCGGUCCCAGAUACCUGGGGUCUGUACAACCCGGGCUAUCGACACAGAGGCAGCCUCCAGGAAACCUAUCACGGUCAUUGUGUCUCCCUCCCCACUAUCAGCCCUGUAUCACACUGCACUCUGUUGUGCUGGAGGGGCUUAUCUCCCUUGCUUGGGUUGGCUGGCUGGAGUUAUCGGACUUUGUAUAUUUUUUAUUGUGAUGCCUU
rnacentral:sRNA from 1 species